rnacentral:rRNA from 1 species
GAUGAACGCUGGCGGCGUGCCUAAUACAUGCAAGUCGAGCGAACGGACGAGAAGCUUGCUUUUCUGAUGUUAGCGGCGGACGGGUGAGUAACACGUGGAUAACCUACCUAUAAGACUGGGAUAACUUCGGGAAACCGGAGCUAAUACCGGAUAAUAUUUUGAACCGCAUGGUUCAAAAGUGAAAGACGGUCUUGCUGUCACUUAUAGAUGGAUCCGCGCUGCAUUAGCUAGUUGGUAAGGUAACGGCUUACCAAGGCAACGAUGCAUAGCCGACCUGUGAGGGUGAUCGGCCACACUUGAACUGAGACACGGUCCAGACUCCUACGGGAGGCAGCAGUAGGGAAUCUUCCGCAAUGGGCGAAAGCCUGACGGAGCAACGCCGCGUGAGUGAUGAAGGUCUUCGGAUCGUAAAACUCUGUUAUUAGGGAAGAACAUAUGUGUAAGUAACUGUGCACAUCUUGACGGUACCUAAUCAGAAAGCCACGGCUAACUACGUG